CUUUCUCUUCUUUUUUUUUCUUUUUACGUUUUUUCCUUCUUUAUUUUUUUUUUAUUAUUUAUUUUAUUCAUCUUUUUUUUUUUAUUAAAAAAAAUCAAAAAAAAUCAAAAAAUGUCCAAGAACAGCAAAGGUCAGUGCAUGAUUCUCCAACCCAGAAAGGUUUUUUCCUUUCACUUCUUUCUUUUUCCCAAAAAUUCUGCAACAAGAAGAACACGUUAAAAUUCCUGCAGCCAACUGAACAACAAACUCAAACAGUUGUCCUCUCUCCAAUUCGGACCAUUACUUCCAACAAGGAAAAAUUGAAAGUCAACUUUUUCCCUUUUCCAUCAAACAUAAACCCUAAUUUUUGGGUAUAAAUAAAAGGAACCAAAACUCAAAGAAAAGAAAAAAAGGAGAACCACAGCCGCACCUGCAAAGAAACAAUCAACAACAAACCCAAAAAGAACAGCCGCAACAGUACAACCACAACCAAAACCCUAAAAUUUUUCAUCACAGAAACCAAACUUUCAAAACCACAGAAAAAAGCCAAAAACCACACAGAAACCACCAACCAAUCUUCAACCUCCAUCCAGUUUCAACCAUAUCCUCAAAUCAUCAAAACCAAAAGGAAAAUCUAAAAAAAAAACAACAAAACAGAAACCGAAACAAAACAGAAGGAAGAAGGAGCGAAAAGAAGAAGAAAAAAAACCUUGAAAACUGCCUUCUCCGAUCUACGUUUGGGUGAGAUUUUCGAAUUUUUCAUGCUCAUUUUCGUAUUCUAGGGUUUGAAUAAAGGGGGGUUUAGUGUANNNNNNNNNNNNNNNNNNNNNNNNNNNNNNNNNNNNNNCCGGCGCGGCGGCGCCGCCGUCUGGCCUGACGGCCGCCGCGCCGGCGACGGGUUAUAAAAGCAAACCCUAGCAGAGCUUAGGUUAGAGAAGAGAGGAGAUGAAAGAAAAAUAAAAAAAAUACAAUGGGUUUCUCUGUAUAUUGCUAUUUAUAGCAAAUUUUUUAUUUUUUAGGUGAUUUUAUUUUAAUUAUUUGCUAUCUAUUGUUAAUUAAUCUCUUUUAUCCCCUUUAUGAGCUUAUGAAAUAAGUGCUUUUGGCAUAAGCUAUUUUUAGCUUUUUCAGCCUCUUAAAGCAUGAUGUUGAGGCUCUUUUAACUAAUAACCCAUCUAACUACUAACAUUUAUUUAUGUUAUUUAUUUAUUUAUUUUUUUGGUAUCAUUUCAUCAUAUUUAUUUAUGUAAUUUUUGUCUUAUAUUUAUUCUGGUUAAUUUUUAUUUAUUUAAAUGCAAAAAAGUAUAUGUUGUAUGAUUAUUUGUUAUCCAAGGGAAUAAAUAUUUUUUUUCGUUAACCUCGCGUUACAUUUUUUUUUUUACUUAUCCCUUCAAAAUAAAGAGUUUUGUUCUAAAGAAGAGGAUUUGAAAUGGAGUGGUUGGACGGAUGACUUUCCAUUCCCCGGUUACUUUGGACUUCUUGCCGGAUGGCUUGCGAUCUGAGUAAUCAACGCUAAAAAAUAAUACCCUUUUUUUUUAAAUAAUGAUAAUACUUUUUUUUUAUAUAACAAAACAAAAAUUUAUAAAUAAAAAAAUACUUUUUCAAAAAGAAAUCUUUUCCUAGUAAACCUCGACUUUCGUCGGGAGACUUUUUUUUCAACCCUUUUUCCAAAUAAAUGCUUUAAUACACUUAAGCAUGUUUAAAUAUUUUUCAAAAGAAACUAAAAAAUAAAAAACAAAUUCAAACCUUUUUGCCGCUUGGCUUUUAAUUUUAAAACAUUUUCACAAAAGAGUUUAGACAUGAGUUAUCUCUAUGGUCGAGAAUUCUAAUAUUCCCCAUAACAUUAAAACAAUGGAAAAUGUGAUUUCUUCUUCAUUUAGGAGAGUUAGCGGCAUACUCGAUGAUGAAUUCCGAGUGAGAGCCCUUCCCUAUUAUGAAUUAAAAAUCCCAUUUUUAGCACGUUUGUGGUGGAUUAAAAGGAGUUUAAAACUUAAGAUGACAACUCGUCUUUCCUCCUAAAAAAUAACCAAACAAACCAUUUUACAAUUUUUACCCCGAACUACGGGAUUUUGAUCCUUAACGGGUACGUAGUGCAAGAGACCUUGCGUCUUCCCAAAUCAAAAUUAAUAAAAUACAUAUUUUCUUUUUCUUCUCAUUAUCCCAAUUAUUUAUAAACGAUUAUUUACAAGCAAAUCCUUUUUAGCACAAAAUACACAUAAGUACAAGAGGUUCCCGUAGAGUACUACGGAUACAAAGGGUGCUAAUACCUUCCCUUUGUAUAACUAACCCCCGAACCUUUUAAUCUCUAAAAAAUUUAAUUUUGGGUUUAUUCGAUCUUUUUCCCUUCNNNNNNNNNNCUUUUUCCCUUCCCUUGGAUAAAUUAAAGUUCGGUGGUGAAUCGUUUUUUGAGAACCAAAGCUAACCAAUAGCUUGGCGUCCAAAAAUCACCGCGACAGAAAUGGCGACUUCACUGGGGAACUCCCCAAGAGGGUUAAGCCUAACUUGUGUAUAUGUCAUUUUGUGUUAUAUUAUUUGCUUGUAUGUUUUGUUUAUUUUAUAAUAUUGAUUUAUUUGGGCUUAUCACCUAUGAAAGAAAAGUCCUCUUCCCGGACUUGAGCAAACACUUAAGAUAAGUUAGUGGUUGAGUGUUGACCUUUGAGGUGGAUGUCUCGUAGGGUUAACAUGAAAACCACGCCUAGAGUAGACUCUCUUGGAGAUGUCAUUGUCUUGCGAGGAUUUGCAAUGACGAUGAUACUUCCUCGUUGGGUUCAUGACUCUAGGGACCUUUUAAACCGGUCUAGAACCUUGAAACAUGUUAUUAAGGGCUUUUUGCUAGAACCCUAGUUGGUGGUUAAGUGUUGACCUUCGUGGUGGAUAUCUCGUAGGGUCGACACGAAAGUCACACCUAAAAGAGAUCGUUUGAAAAGAUUGCAGUCUUGUGAGGAUUUGCAAUGACUGCAAUAUUUUCAAAUAAGGUCAAUGAUUUUAGGGACCAUUAGGAAAACUUAGAACCAACAUGUGAGGGGGUGGUAGUUCAAAUGUUUUUAAAAAAAAAAGUUAACACUAGAUGACUUGAAAUUAUCCCGGACCAUACCCUUGCAUCCAUAACCAUGCAUCCAUGCAUUCAUGAAAAUUUUUAAUUUGGUUUUCAAAGAACUUGGGAUUCCCUUUGCAAACGUCAUAGGUUCUGUAAUCCUUCCAUUAUCAAUGAAAUGAAGUUUUUUUCUUUU
rnacentral:lncRNA from 1 species